CACAGUUCAGAGGACUUCUGGAAGAGAUGGACACAAGACAGAAUAGAUGAAGUUGAUGAAGAGCCGGCGCUGCCCACCAGGCCCCACGAGCUGAGGACUCGGCUGUACACCCCCCCUGGCCCCCUGUCCAGCGCCCUGCGGGGAGCGCUGACCGACCGCUUCUCCGUGGCCCAGCACCACAACUUCCUCAAGGGAUACCAGCUGCACAACAGCUACAUGGACAACGAGCACUUCUGCCGCUGGAAAGGUCCCAGCUCCUCUUUAGCGGCGUCCUAUCCACGGGGUUUGGGGUGGGGAAUUUAGGAAAGCAGCCUGUCGGGGAUAGCAAUCCUCCCAAGAGAACAUUUAUUGCCUGAGUAGAGAGAAGGCACUAAGACUUCAGUGUUG
rnacentral:lncRNA from 12 species